rnacentral:lncRNA from 1 species
UCGUUUUCUUCUUUCACUUUCCCUAAAAGCUGUUCCAAGUCAUUGCUGGUUUCUGCCAGCAAAAUGGUGUUAUCUGUAUAUAUUAAAUUACUGAUGUUUCUUCUUCCACCAAUUUUCACUCUUCUUUCAUCUGAAUCUAGUUUGACUUUCUAUAUGAUACGAUUUGCAUACAGAUUGAACAGGUAAGGGGAUGAAAUGCACCCUUGUCCGAUUUGCUUACAGAUUGAACAGGUAAGGGGAUGAAAUGCACCCUUGUCAGCUGUUCAGUUGCUUGAAACAUGUAUUUGCAAUAAACAGAAUGAAUGCAGUCCCAGGUCCUCUGUCUUUGAUAGUAAUUGUAUAUCCAUCAACAAUGGUCCGGCUGGUAAAUAUCACAGGCUACAUAGUGCAUAUAAUGCUUUCUGCUGGCUCUAAAAUGGAUACUUCAUGGAAGUGAAAUACAGUGGUGCCUCACACAACUCAGAAAUUUUGCCACUUGUACAGCAUAUGUCAAAUUUUCUUGUGUAAUGGUCACUUUAUUUAUCUAUAUGCAUAUUUCAUAUAGUGUUCUGGAAAAUCUACGUUUGCUUCAAAAUGAAGGAACUGUGUUGCUAAUGGCACCACAGUCAUUUUGUAUAUAAAAUUCUGUAGAUUCUAGUUCCUUGAGAGCUAAUAGUUUUUCAGUGUUCCGGGCAACCGCUAAGCACAUUACACUUACAUUCUCCAAGUGAAUGAUCAGGAAUCAACGAACUAUACAUUCUUUGUUUCUUGGAUUUAUUUAUGUUUCCCUGGAGGGCACAGGAUACAGUGGACCCUCUACUUAGGGAAUUAAUCCAUAUUGGAAUGGUGGCUGCAGGUCGAAAAGUCUGUAGGUCAAGUCUCCAUUGACCUACAAUGCACUGAAAACCGAUUAAUCCCGUAACCGGCCGUUUUUGUUCCAUUUUUGUUCCAUUUUGGUUUUUUUUCUGGUCUGUAAGUCGAUUCUCUGGCUGCAACUCGAACCUAAAUUUUGCGGCCAGAGAAGUCUGUAACUCGAAAAGUCUGUAAGUCGAGGGUCCACUGUACAUAGAGCUAAUUUGUAAUUUGGCCUUCCCAUCCAGAUCCCUUAGACCAACAGUUCUUAGUGUGACGAUCGCCCCACGUCACUCAUACUAUUCAUAGUCAUGAGCUAAUUUGCAUGAGCCUAUGAGAGGACUGGUGAGGCGGAGUCAGCAGAUAUAUGAAGGCUUGGCAGGAGAAGGAGGAGUCAGAGAGAGACAGAGAUACAGCUAGAGAUUGGGGUGAGAUCUAGAUAGAGUUAGGGCAGGUUAGUCAGAGAGAGAGAACAGAUACUAUGAGAUAAAGCUGGUUAAGAAAAUAGCUAAAGAGGGUGGCAAUGAUACUACAAGAGAAAAGUGUGUACUGAGAGAACUGUUAAUGAUUUGCUUGUGUACAAUGUUUAUCUGAAGAACUGUUAUUAAAUCUGAUUCACUUCAAUAAAUAAGUUCAGUUUGUAUUCA